rnacentral:rRNA from 1 species
AUGCCAGCUGAAGAUGAUGGCCUUGGCUUAAUCAUUGUGUCGGGCUUCCGCGCCCAGCUAUGGAAGUGGAAAGCUCGUGUUCGUCAUGAUGGUGCGACAUGGGUUCUGGGAAAGACCGUUGAACUGGACAAGCUUCUUCCACUUGGUGCAGCAGGAAAAAGGAAGCCUCUAGCUUUAGUGGGGUUCGAGGAAAACAAUGUGAUGCUUGUAAGGACAUCUUGUGGCAUCUUCAUGGUCCAUCUCUAG